UACGAAGGGGGCUAGCGUUGUUCGGAAUUACUGGGCGUAAAGGGCGCGUAGGCGGUGUGUCAAGUCAGGCGUGAAAGCCCCGGGCUCAACCUGGGAACCGCGCUUGAGACUGGCACGCUCGAGUCCGGGAGAGGAUGGUGGAAUUCCCAGUGUAGAGGUGAAAUUCGUAGAUAUCUGCAGGAACACCCGUGGCGAAAGCGGCGCGCUGGACCACUACUGACGCUGAGGAGCGAAAGCGUGGGGAGCGAACAGG
rnacentral:rRNA from 1 species